UGGGCCGUCGCCAAGCGGUAAGGCAGCGGUUUUUGGUAUCGCCAUACGGAGGUUCGAAUCCUCCCGGCCCAGCCA
rnacentral:tRNA from 1 species